GCAAUGUGUUAGAAAUUUCCAGCAGUAAAUAUGAGCUCUUAUGUACAAAAAAAUGUGCAAUCUGGUGAAGAAUGUGAGACCCGAGGCGUUUAACGAGACACUAAGUUGAAGUUUUAUUUGGAGACUAGAGGAGCAAGCAACAAGCUGAGUCGGCUGCAAGGAGAUCUGAUCGCUUUUACAAGCAAAGAAGGCUGAAGAACACAAGUGGUAUGAAAGCGUUGUCAAGUUGUGCUGUGUAAGCCUCCAACAAACCACUAAUUGUGACGGCUAGGAGAAGGGACAACCACCGCUCUGUCAAAAAAUAUCCAGUGGAUGCUAGAAGUGGAAGCAGAAUGGAACAAGCAGCCAGGACAGAUGUAAUACCAGCUGCUGUGCCUUCAAUGGUUUUCUUGCCAGUUUUGCUCCACCGAAGGACACCAUACUUGUGACCAACAACAGAUGCCAUUGUAUCUCCAAUUCCGAGACUCAGUAUUCCAGCAAAAGGUGCAAGUGGACGGUCA
rnacentral:misc_RNA from 1 species